ACUUCGGGAUAAGAGGUGUCUUCUGACGUGAGUGAAUAACGAGCGUUGGGAGAUCGCAGUGAAAUGGUUCUAGGGACUGGUUAACAAAACCACAGGUCUCUGCAAAGCCGCAAGGCGAUGUAUAGGGGCUGACACCUGCCCAGUGCCGGAAGGUUAAAGGGAGAGGUUAGCGCAAGCGAAGCUUUGAACUGAAGCCCCGGUGAACGGCGGCCGUAACUAUAACGGUCCUAAGGUAGCGAAAUUCCUUGUCGGGUAAGUUCCGACCCGCACGAAAGGUGUAGCAACUAGAACUCUGUCUCGACGAGGGACCCGGCGAAAUUGAAAUGGCUGUGAAGAUGCGGCCUACCCGCAGUAGGACAAAAAGACCCCGUGGAGCUUUACUGCAACUUGGCAUUGAGUUUGGAUUUCAUUUGUGUAGGAUAGGUGGGAGGCUAUGAAACUAGGGCGCCAGCCUUGGUGGAGCCGCCGGUGAAAUACCACCCUGAUGAACUCUAGACCCUAACCCCAUUCCGUAAUCCGGAUGGGGGACCGUGCCAGGUGGGCAGUUUGACUGGGGCGGUCGCCUCCCAAAGAGUAACGGAGGCGCCCAAAGGUUCCCUCAGGCUGAAUGGAAACCAGCCUAAGAGUGUAAAGGCAUAAGGGAGCUUGACUGCAAGGCCAACGCGCCGAGCAGAGACGAAAGUCGGGCUUAGUGAUCCCACGGUUCCGAGUGGAAGGGCCGUGGCUCAUCGGAUAAAAGCUACCCCGGGGAUAACAGGCUAGUCAGGUCCAAGAGUCCAUAUCGACGACCUGGCUCGGCACCUCGAUGUCGGCUCAUCGCAUCCUGGGGCUGGAUAAGGUCCCAAGGGUCGGGCUGUUCGCCCGUUAAAGCGGUACGCGAGCUGGGUUCAGACCGUCGUGAGACAGGUCGGUCUCUAUCCACUGUGGGCGUAAGAGAUUUGAGAGGAGCUGCUCCUAGUACGAGAGGACCGGAGUGGACAGACCUCUGGUGUGCCAGCUGUCGUGCCAACGGCAUAGCUGGGUAGCUACGUCCGGCAGAGAUAACCGCUGAAAGCAUCUAAGUGGGAAACUCGCCUCAAGAUUAGAUCUCUAUAAUCCCGUUAAGGGAGUAAGAUCGCAGGUAGACUACCUGCUUAAUAGGCAGAAUGUGUAAGCGCAGUAAUGCGUUGAGCUAAGCUGUACUAAUGAUCGAGUGCUUCCCCGU
rnacentral:rRNA from 1 species